rnacentral:rRNA from 1 species
UGGGGAAUAUUGGACAAUGGGCGCAAGCCUGAUCCAGCCAUGCCGCGUGAGUGAUGAAGGCCCUAGGGUUGUAAAGCUCUUUCACCGGUGAAGAUAAUGACGGUAACCGGAGAAGAAGCCCCGGCUAACUUCGUGCCAGCAGCCGCGGUAAUACGAAGGGGGCUAGCGUUGUUCGGAUUUACUGGGCGUAAAGCGCACGUAGGCGGACUUUUAAGUCAGGGGUGAAAUCCCGGGGCUCAACCCCGGAACUGCCUUUGAUACUGGAAGUCUUGAGUAUGGUAGAGGUGAGUGGAAUUCCGAGUGUAGAGGUGAAAUUCGUAGAUAUUCGGAGGAACACCAGUAGCGAAGGCGGCUCACUGGACCAUUACUGACGCUGAGGUGCGAAAGCGUGGGGAGCAAACAGG